CUUGCAUCGCGUGGUUUACACGAAUGAGUACCGAGAUGGUAUGAUUACGAUGAAUUGUUCAUCUCUUUCACCUUUCCGCCACCAUCGCGUCAAAAAACAAAGCCAUUUUGAAGACAGUGCACAACACAGACACACACCACAAAUCCAUCAUCUUCGCCCUAAUCCCUUUCUCUUUCACCGCCUCCGAAACUCCUCAGAUCCGUCGUCGAUUCGCGUUUCGCGCUUUUUCAUUUCGUUUUCUCGCGAGAUACGCGACGCCGGAGCGUGGACUUCUCGCUCCGAUCCCGGCGUGAUUAUCACGUGACAUGGGUUUUGGAACUUGAUGAGCGCACGUGCGUGUGGUAGUGAAGGCGUGUUUUGAGAUUAUCGUCGGUGAAGAGGGAAUCAUGUUCUGGAGGGACCGUGAGAGGGAGAACACAGAGUUGAACGGUGGGGUCCUAUGUGGCCAGGUCAGAGUGCUGGUUGUUGGUGAUUCAGGUGUUGGGAAGACUUCGUUAGUGAACCUGAUUAUAAAAGGUUCUCCAAUUGCUCGCCCUCCUCAAACAAUUGGUUGUGCAGUUGAUGUGAAACAUACUACUUAUGGAAAUUCAGGCAGCUCUUCUAGUAGCCUAAAAGGUGAUUCUGAGAGAGAUUUCUUUGUUGAACUGUGGGAUGUCUCAGGACACGAACGGUACAAAGAUUGUCGGUCUCUUUUUUAUUCACAGAUUAAUGGUGUAAUUUUUGUUCACGAUCUCUCACAGAGAAGAACAAAGACUAGCUUGCAGAAGUGGGCAGCUGAGAUUGCUGCAACUGGGACAUUUUCAGCUCCUUUGGGAUCUGGUGGUCCUAGUGGCCUUCCUGUUCCAUUUAUUGUUAUUGGUAACAAAGCUGAUAUAGCUGCACAAGAGGGUACAAGAGAAAGCAGUGGGAAUCUUGUUGAUGUUGCACGCCAAUGGGUUGAGAAGCAGGGCUUGCUUCCUUCCAGUGAGGAGCUUCCUUUGACUGAGAGUUUUCCUGGUAGUGGGGGCCUUAUUGCUGCUGCAAAAGAAGCAAGGUAUGACAAAGAGGCUGUGGUGAAAUUUUUCCGCAUGUUGAUCAGGAGAAGAUAUUUCUCAGAUGAAAUACCUUCACCAGCAUGGUCCAUUCCUUCUGUUCCGAGACCAGCUCAGCGUAUAGAUGAAAAUUUCACAGAAGAUGAUCUGCCCUACAGUAGAAGAAGGUACGCUGAUGUGCUUUUAUCAUCACCACCAUGACCGCAGUGUAUUUGGCUGGAAGAUGUCUUCUUGAUCAUAUUUUUCAUGUAUGGAAAGACGACUAAUAAUGCAAUUUUGGAUUUGCCUCCUUGGUGUGAAAAUUUCCGGAUCAUUGUGUUCAAUGGUAGUUGAAAGAUUAUGCACAGAUCCUAGUCUAAGCGGGGGUGAUCCUUUCAAAUUCAACACGCCACUUCCAGCACAACGCAAUCUAACACCGCCACCCACACUCUAUCCUCAACAGCCAGUUUCGGUGUCGGAAACCCAUACUUUUCCUAGGUAUUCCUUGUCAGGCAUCUCAGAAAUCAGUGCUGUGGCCAGAACGAAGCGGUCAGAUAUUAAUGUCUGAAGAUUUAUUUGUGUAUUUUUGGUAACUACAUGGAUGUAUUCUUGCAUGGAACGAAGUUAUAUACGUGUUUAAAUUCUUUGUUCCCAUUGUAACUCGUCAAUUGAUUCAUUCGUUUUCAAGAGGCUUUCUCAGUCGACAGAGGAGCUAAUUGUUCAAUGUUUGGGGAGAAUUUAAAUGAUAUAUGCUCCAUUCUUUUAUAUCAACAGUAUUGUUAUUGGUAAAA